ACCGGUCGUUGCGUCUCGCUCAGAACGCAGGAGUGACUUUCCGCAGCCGUUCUGAGAAGAGUCCGGGCUCGGCGAUAAGAGCGAGCGAGCAGGAGAGCGGCCGGCGAUGGGGCGGUGGUGGGCGAGCGCGAAGAGAGUGUUCGGCGACCGCGAGGACGGCGAGGACGGCGAGGACGGCGAUGAUGGCGGGAGCGUCGGCUGCUUCCCGAGGAUUGCGAGGAAGCUGUCCAGGAACUCGUACGCUUACACGCCGGAUCCUGGGCAAGGCGGCGGCGGCCCCGAGGCGGAGGAGGUGGUGACGGUGGAGGUGCCGGAGGUGCCGCUGCGGGAGGUGAACGAGAUCACGGCGUCCUUCUCGGGCGAGAAGCUGAUCGGCCAGGGCUCCUACGCCAAGGUGUACCGCGCCACGCUGCGGGGCGGCCGCCCCGCCGUGGUGAAGCGGCUGGAGAGGCCCUCCAAGCACGCGUCCAACGUCAUCUUCCUCAGGCAGCUCUCCGUGGCGUCGCGGCUCAACCACGACAACUUCGUCCGCCUCCUUGGCUACACCAUCAGCAACGACCUCCGCGUGCUCGUCUACGAGUACGCCACCAUGGGCACCCUCCACGACGUCCUGCACGGGGACAGGGAGGUGCUGGGGCAGGCGGCGGAGCAGGGCGCCGCCGGAGGGAGGCCGGUGCUGAGCUGGAUCCACCGCGUGCACAUCGCGCUGGACGCGGCGAGGGGGCUGGAGUACCUGCACGAGACGGUGCGGCCGGCGGUGACGCACAAGGACGUGAGGUCCACCAACGUGCUGCUCUUCGAUGGGUUCAGGGCCAAGAUCGCCGACUACAACUUGUUCAGCCAGGCCGCGGACAUGGCCAGGCUCAACCGCUCCACGCACACGCUCGGAUCCUUCGGCUACCAGGCGCCCGAGUACGCCAUGACGGGGCAGAUGACGGACAAGAGCGACGUGUACAGCUUCGGGAUCGUCCUCCUGGAGCUCCUGACGGGGAGGAAGCCGUUGGACCGGACGCUGCCGCAGGGGCAGCGCAGCCUGGUGAACUGGGCAACUCCAAUGCUGACGGAAGACAGGGUUCAGGAGUGCAUCGACCCGAAGCUUGGCGAUCAGUAUCCUCCUGCCGGAGCUCUCAAGCUCGGGCGGAUCGCGGUGCAGUGCCUGCAUUACGACCCCAUCUUGCGGCCGUCCAUGGGCACCGUCGCCCGCGUGAUCAACUACGCCGUCUUGCGAGACCAGCAGGGCGUGGUCUGAUGGCCGCCCGUGUGAAGAUGCCAAGUUUUGCCGCCGUCGUCCAUCGAUCACUGCAGUCUAUGGAAGAUGGCCAGAGCGCCUAGGGUCAUGUAUGAAAAAAUGGGACCGUGUGUAAUAACACUACAUUUUUUCCGAGAAUGACUAUGUGAGCAGGGCAAAAGAAACUGAACAGGGACCGAGCUCGUCGGUAAAUCAGCAGGUACUAUUGUAAUGGUAACAACGAUCAUCGAUACAAGUAGUAUAGCAUUUUGCCCCGGAAAAUAGGGGAAAGAAUAAUUGUAUGUAAUACACAUUACAUUAGUUGUGUAUAAUAAGGCACUAACUACUGCCAUAUGUUGGCCCCUAAGCUGAGGGUGUAAAAAACACAAGAAAACAGAGGAACAAGGUGGCCUGAACUGCA